AAAAGCACGUAUCGAUAUUUACUCGUAACUAUAGUUCAUUAUAAUAUACUCUUUGGCUCCUAUAGGCUAUAAGUAUAUAUUUGUCGUAGUUUAAAUACUUAUAUAUAGUACGUGAAAUCAUUAUUGUUGGGAUGAAAACGGUGCAUAAAGUUUCAACGAUUUUCGAGUUAAACGUAUUACGUAACAUAAUUGAUAAUAUAUUAUACACUUGAGAAAAUCGAACGAAUAACGUCAAUUUAGCGAGAGUGAUGGAAGGCAAACUGCAGCAUUAUAAACGAGCUUCGUAUAUCCCCAAACCUUGGAUCAGAAGUCAUCGUUCGUCGCUAUUACAACAGCAGCAGAAGGAGUAAUUGAACGCACGUAUAUAUUAAUGUGAUACACUCUGUAUACAUACAUGGCUACAUACCACCAGAUAAUACAUUAUUAAUUAUUAUUACGUACGAGCACCUUUUGUAUAACGUGAUUCGGCAGGAUGGUAGAGUAUAUACUAUAUUAUAAUAGUGUACGUUUCACGUUCUUAUACACAAGAAAUUACAUGUAUAAUACAAGACAAGUGCACACACGUUUACGUUUGCUUGCCCAUUAUGGUCAACAUUUAGUUAAUUCUAUCAAAUGUUUACUUUAUAAAAAAAAUUUAACAAUUUGUU